rnacentral:hammerhead_ribozyme from 1 species
AUCCAGCUGACGAGUUCCAAAUAGGACGCAACGCGUGUUCUGGAU